GCGUGGCUAAAGCAUGCAAGUCGUACGCGAAAGUCCUUCGGGAACGAGUAGAGUGGCGAAAGGGCGAGGAAUACAUGGGUAACAUACCCCCGGCACAGGGAUAGCCGCGGGAAACCGCGGGUAAUACCUGAUAUGACCACGGCAUCUUAUGAUGCAGCGGUAAAAGGGUGGGGACCUUCGGGCCUACCGGCCAGGGAGUGGCCCAUGUCCUAUCAGCUUGUUGGUGAGGUAACGGCUCACCAAGGCGACGACGGGUACCGGGGCUGAGAGGCUGAUCCGGCGCAUUGGGACUGAGACACUGCCCAGACUCCUACGGGAGGCUGCAGCGACGAAUAUUGCACAAUGGGCGCAAGCCUGAUGCAGCGACGCCGCGUGUGGGAGGAAGCCCCUCGGGGUGUAAACCACUGUCAGGGACCACCAAGCGACCCGGGCGAAUAGUCCGGGAAGUUGAGGAAUCCCAGAGGAAGUCACGGCUAACUUCGUGCCAGCAGCCGCGGUAAGACGAAGGUGGCAAGCGUUGUUCGGAAUCACUGGGCUUAAAGAGCACGUAGGCGGAUUGUCAAGCACUUUGUGAAAUCCCUCGGCUUAACCGAGGAAUUGCUUGGUGAACUGGCAGUCUUGAGGCAGGUAGAGGCACACGGAACUCUUGGUGGAGCGGUGGAAUGCGUAGAUAUCAAGAGGAACGCCAGAGGCGAAAGCGGUGUGCUGGGCCUGACCUGACGCUGAGGUGCGAAAGCCAGGGGAGCAAACGGGAUUAGAUACCCCGGUAGUCCUGGCCAUAAACGAUGUCCACUAGGCCUGACGUGUUCUGACACACUUCCGGCCGAAACAAAAGCGUUAAGUGGACCGCCUGGGGAGUACGGUCGCAAGGCUAAAACUUCAACGAAUUGACGGGGGCUCACACAAAGCGUGGAGCAUGUUGCUUAAUUCGAUGCCACGCGAAGAACCUUAUCCUGGGCUUGACCUGUAGGAAUACCUCCCUGGGAAACCGGGUGGGUUGCCCUUCGGGGUGAAGCCUUACACAGGUGCUGCAUUGGCUGUCGUCAGCUCGUGUCGGGAGAUGUUGGGUUAAGUCCCGUUAACGAUCGUAACCCUUGUCGUUAGUUGCCAGCGCGUUAUGUCGGGGACUCUAACGAGGCUGCCGUUGUUAAACCGGAGGAAGUUGGGGAUGACGUCAAGUCCUCAUGGCCUUUAUGCCCAGGGCUGCAAACGUGCUACAAUGGCUUGUACAAACCGACGCAAGACCGCGAGGUGGAGCAAAUCGGUAUAAGCACGCCCCAGUUCGGAUUGGAGUCUGCAACUCGACUCCAUGAAGUCGGAAUCGCUAGUAAUCGCAGAUCAGCAUGCUGCGGUGAAUAUGUUCCUGAGCCUUGUACACACCGCCCGUCAAGUCAUGGAAG
rnacentral:rRNA from 1 species